rnacentral:rRNA from 1 species
UACGUAGGGUGCGAGCGUUGUCCGGAAUUACUGGGCGUAAAGAGCUCGUAGGUGGUUUGUCGCGUUGUUCGUGAAAUCUCACGGCUUAACUGUGAGCGUGCGGGCGAUACGGGCAGACUGGAGUACUGCAGGGGAGACUGGAAUUCCUGGUGUAGCGGUGGAAUGCGCAGAUAUCAGGAGGAACACCGGUGGCGAAGGCGGUUCUCUGGGCAUGUCCUGACGCUGAGGAGCGAAAGUGUGGGGAGCGAACAGG